GACGAACGCUGGCGGCGUGCCUAAUACAUGCAAGUCGAGCGAACAGAUGAGAAGCUUGCUUCUCUGAUGUUAGCGGCGGACGGGUGAGUAACACGUGGGUAACCUACCUAUAAGACUGGGAUAACUCCGGGAAACCGGGGCUAAUACCGGAUAAUAUUUUGAACCGCAUGGUUCAAUAGUGAAAGACGGUUUCGGCUGUCACUUAUAGAUGGACCCGCGCCGUAUUAGCUAGUUGGUAAGGUAACGGCUUACCAAGGCGACGAUACGUAGCCGACCUGAGAGGGUGAUCGGCCACACUGGAACUGAGACACGGUCCAGACUCCUACGGGAGGCAGCAGUAGGGAAUCUUCCGCAAUGGGCGAAAGCCUGACGGAGCAACGCCGCGUGAGUGAUGAAGGUCUUCGGAUCGUAGAACUCUGUUGUUAGGGAAGAACAAAUUUGUUAGUAACUGAACAAGUCUUGACGGUACCUAACCAGAAAGCCACGGCUAACUACGUGCCAGCAGCCGCCGUAA
rnacentral:rRNA from 1 species